GAGCUCUGAAGAUGAGUGGGUUGAGGCUGUUCCACCCCAGACUUCUGGCAAGGAAAAGGCCUGGAAACUGAAAGGUGAAAAGUCAGAAAAAGAAGACAACCAAGAUAUUCAGAGGGAUGAGUGGAUGACUGUUGAUUUUAUGUCUGUUAAAACUGUGUCAUCAUCAUCACUCAAAGCUGAAAAAGAAACAAAAAA